UCUGCAAGAUAAAAAAAAACAGACAAUGCAUCAUUUGACAUUGAGUUCAUGGAUAUUUUUUGAGAAAACAUGGAAGUUCACGAUGUUGUGGGAUGAAAUGGCCAAGUUUAAUGCUAAAAACAUGGAGUGAUCCUUUCUAAUGGUUAGAUGGGAGGGACACUAUAAUAUAGAGGUAUGUAUGUGUGACUCACUUAUAUAGUUAAAGACUGUAUCCUAAUGCAUAUGUGCUAGGGGGUUGAAUUAAAGUUGCAUGAUCAAUCUCUAUCCAUGCCCCUCCUAGCCUUUGAGUGCUUGACUCUGCCACUUUAAUGAUGCAACUUUUACAUGUGACAUUAUCUUUGCAAAAAACAGGUGCAUAUUAUUAGCACCAAAUAUGUACCUAAUAGAAAACAAGCAAUUGUUCUGCGAGCCCAAAGAUGCAGUAAAUGCCUCCCACUCAACAAGCUUCCAAACUGGAGACCACAUGAUGUUUACUUCUCACCAGGACCCAUUUAUAGAUAUGUUACUCACCACUGCCACAGUUACACAUGCAGAGAUAAAAAGAGAAGAAAAAGUACUGCAUCUCUUUAUACAGUUUGGAAUAAAGAUUAACCCUUCCCUUUAGCAUUAUAGUUUGACCAGGUGCCCAUAUCACAAACCUCUUAUACACUAUAAUCAACAGAAAACAUCCAGCAUAUUUCCCAUGUGCUAUAUGCUGACAACAUGCAAAUUCAGCAAACUAUUAAAGAGAAAUCAUUGCAGUUAUUGGAAAACAUCAGUAAAUGGGCAGGGACAAGGGUGAGAAUUUUAAAAGAGGGAGAAAGGAGCAAAUUACAAUGGAAAAGGUUUCCUUUAGAGAUGUCAGAAGCCACAGAAAAGACUUUUAUCCUCAGAGCUUUUAAAUGAUAGCUGGGCACUCAAAACAAAUAAGCAUCCUGGGAAUGAAAGAUAUUAAAUUCAGUAAAGUAAGAAGGGGACAGAGUUCAUGAACUUUCAUAAGUCUGAAGCAGAAUUGGGAUGAUAUUCCAAACACACAGAACUAAAGAAGGAAAACAUGCAAAAAAUAAAUUCAGGGCCAUAUCCUUAGUUGGCAGCUUACUUUAGGGAAUUGGUACAGUGAAAGGAAAAUUUGGAUACCCUAAUUUUGCCAUUUAGCAGGCAAGAGACUUGAAGUUUUAAUGGCUCUGUCUUAAUUAGUUGGUUUAAUUAGUUGCCUUAUCAUGUUGCCCUUACUUCCUUUCAACUGGCACCAUCUGUUGAGAUCACCUUCUCCUUUGCAUCCGAUUUAAUAUUUAUAUUAUAUGUGGGAUAUCUGGACUGGUAGUCAGCAAAGGUGGAAGAGACAGUAGGAAGUCAAAUGUGUUCCAGUUAUACAUAUUAGCACUGAGAACAGGAUUAGAGGGAGAAGUUCUAAUAUCCAUGCUUAUGUUGGGUGAGGGUUGAGUUAGCAAAGGGAGACUGGCCCUCUUACUUUCCAUUAACUAAAGUUAAUUGACAAAAAAUGUAAAAAUGAAAGAUUUUUUUAAAACUAUUUUUCACUUCGCCCAGUUGGGGGGAAAAGGGAGGUGGUGGGGAUGACUGCUAAAAGUAAAUAAGAGCAGUGACAUUUUUCUCCACAAGGUUUAAAAAAAAGUCAAAAAAAUUAAUUUUGAAAUUUCAUCGAAAAACAAACUAUGUAGACAAAAAUGACAUUUUUCCACACAAAAAAAUAUUUCUUGAAACCAUGUUUGUUGACAAUAACCUUUUGACCAUCUUUAUUAUUAAACAGCUUUAACAUCUCUAUCCUUGCUUUCCUUCCUGUUAUUGUUCAAGUUGAAUUGCAUCUCCGUGUAGUGAUGAUAACAGUGGGAAUUAAGGUAAAUUUUGACUUUUUUGCAAUAUUGUAGCUUAGUAGGAAGUGCACAAGGAAGCGCCGAUAGAGUUUGUGUAGCAGAAUAUCUAGUGAACAGAAAUAGACCUUCAGACUGCUGGGCAAAGUGUGACAUAAAACCAUUCCACCUGAUGCACUGCUCCUGUUAUUUCUUGCUGGGAUACCAUUGUCGUCAUUUCUGCUGCCACAUUUCUUGCCGGGCUGCUGUUUGCCCCAAUGCUGAAUUAACAAUUGCUCCUGCAGAAGAGUGACAAUUUAGCAUGGUGGCCGCUGAGGGCUGUUUCAGACCAAUAUGUGAAGGGUAAAUUUAAAGGCAAUUGUCAACUGUGGCAUUGUGUUGACCUAUGGCCAGCAUGAGAGUUUAAGAGGUAAUAAAUAAAGAACAGAUAAGGGUAUGUGUUUGCAUCUGUUUGGAAGACUUUUGGUCAAAAUGCAGUAUUAUUAGUCUCUGAGUGGUUGCUAGGCUACCCUCCUUUAUAUUUGGAGACUGCAGGGGCACACCAAUUGAUUUGUGCAAGCAAUUUAUGUGGACAUUAAUCAGCAUGAACAAGGAAAUAAAUGAACACAUUAGAGGUGAGAAUUUUUUAUUCUGGGUGGAUGUAUUUAUCUUAAUUCGGUUUUUAAAUCAGUUGAAAUAAUACAACAGCAAUUCUUUUUUCAGAUUAAAAAUCUUUUAACUUUCAGAAUUGAAAUGGCCAGGUUUUAUGUAAGCCCUGAUAAUGAUUCAGUAGAAGUCAAUUACUUCUCCAAGGAUCUUAAACAAUUAAAUGUACUUCUUACUCAGAUAAAUCAGCACACGUGAUUGGCUGUCAUCAAAUCAGUCAUGUGACAAUGGUAAAGAAUUAUAGUUUUGAAGAAACCAUCCCUAUGCCCUCAGAGUCUCUCUUUCACAGCAAAUGCUUUGCUGUAAAAACAAUCUUUAUCAAGAAUCAAUAUUCAACAACAGAUUGUCCAGAUGAGCCAUCAGCUUCACUCUUCUUCCAGCUGGGUUCGCUUUCUGCUCUUCAGGAGAAUUUCAUCCAGCUGGCUCAGUUUGUUUAUCACAUCCCAAGGGCACUGAAGGCUUAGAACUCUUCUCAGCCGGGUUUGGAACGAGCAGAACAUGUCAUCUGGUUCUUCUGUGUUCAAUACCUCAAUCACUCUUAAUUAUGGAGGCUAUUGGGGUAUAGCUAUAGUCAAUGACAACAGCUGAUGUUGCUACCCAUAUUUUACCUCGUCCAUUUUUAUCAGUAUUAGAUCUCCUAGUUUAAGUUCGGAUAAACUGGAUUCUGAUGAUUAAAAAAGAAAAACUGAGUCCUCUUAGAUUUGGCAUAUCUCCACUCUGUAUCUUUUGAGCGAGAAUUUUAAGGACCAGGGGACUUUUUUAACUUUGAAGGUUGACAACAUUGCAACAUUUUUGAGGCCUUGCUGUUUCCCUCAUUUAUACUUUUCAGUACAUUGUCCUGAAAGGACUGUCCAACUAUAAUAUGAAUGUCACAGAUAAUCAUACAAGCUAUGGAGAAUUCUUCUCAUUACAUGUAAGUCAUAGGCCGAACAUAGGAUUCCUGAGGUAGACAUGUUCUAUAAGUUUGGAUACGAUUUAUAGUUGUACUCUUGCUAGUGGCCAUUUGAAUCAGUUCUGGUUUUUGUGGUGACACUGGCAACCCAUUUCCAAACUACACACACGUGUGCUUCAGUAACAGCAGAGCCAGUUGAAAAGUUUCAAAUUUCAAAAUUUUCCAAUAAAAAAAAGACUAUUUUCACAAAAAUAGUAAUGAAAAAGGGCUUCAUUUUUUGAUCAUCUCUCAUCCUGAGUUUCUGGGGUUUGUAGUACAUCCCAAGCCUAAAGCUAUCACGACCAUGCAAAUGUCUUGUUAACUUCUUUGCAAGCCCAUACAUCCACCAAACAUUCUUUCUCUGUUUGGGCAUAGCUGGGCUUGAGUCUGAAAACUGUCUGGAAUUAUAGGCUACAAACUUCCAGGUAUCUCCUUGUAAAUGAAGUAGCACUCUCCAGGACCCCAGCUUUUGGCAUCUGUUGAAAUAGCUACAGACGUAGAUACAUCAAAAUAUGCCAGUACUGGGGGUGGGAGCAACAGAUUAUUUAUAGCCUCAAAAGUACAUUCUGUGCUUUAUUUCACAUCCACAGAGAGUCUGUUUAAGCAGUUCAUAAAGAACUUGGACUUUUGAGGCCAGACUAGGUAUAAUUUUCUCCAGACUAGUAAUCAUAUAGAGGAACUACAUCAGUUCUGGGAUAUUUUUAGAUAGCAGCACUUUAACUACAGCUCUGACUCUUCCUGGAGCUGCCCUCAACUCCCUCUUCACCAAUUACAUGCCCUAAGACCUGUAGUUCAGUUUGCUGUAGAAUGCUUUUCUCUAUUCAAUUCUUGCACACCACCCUCAAUUGCUUUCACAACUUAUUUCAGUUUAUCAUUAUGUUUUCCCUCUGAAUUCCCAUCAACAAAACAUCAUCUGUGUAAACAGGCCUUGUAGAAUCCCAUUUAAUUUUCUUUGGAGGGUUUCUAGGGAAAUUUGUGAUGUCGAACAAGAAGCAAGGAAAACAAUAUCUUCCAAAUACACAAUGAAAGUUGUCAUCAUCACACUGUCAAGAUGGAGUGAAGCCUGCCAAGAUCCACUAGUUGCAUCUACUGAGGAGAAUACUGCUGCACAAGUUAACCCAGAGAGUAUAGCUGUACUGCUAGGAAGCAUAUAUCUUUCUCUCCUUAUUGCUUCACUCUUUAGGCUGAUACAGAUACGCAUGUAUAAUAAGCACCACAAGGGGGGAAAAUCUCUCAGUUCAGUGAGGCACUUUUAAAUUAUCAGCCAUCCUAUCUUGCCUUUGCUUUGGGAGACAGUAGGAUGGGCACUCCAUAAGAAUAGCCCUACUGGG